rfam:Thalassolituus sp. HI0120 HI0120_c39, whole genome shotgun sequence.
AACUAUCCCAGGGGGUGGCCUGCCGUUAGUUUGGCCUGAGAUGCUGAGGUUUUUCCAAAAACGUUUUCAAGUGAGUGAUACGUUUGGUUAAACAGCAAACUCCUUGAACCUGAUCCGGUUAAUACCGGCGUAGGAAUGGGGAAGCUAAGGCUA